rnacentral:lncRNA from 1 species
CUCUUGUUGGAGGGGAAAAAGCAGUGAGGGGCAUAUUACAGUAGAAGAGUCAGCAUCAACUUCACAGCUAACAAUUCCCAAGCUUUAAAGUAAGCUCAAGGUAUUUGGGAGAGUUCAUUCUGCUGGCCAUCACCAAAACCAGAGUAUUUUGAAUCUUUAAUCGCUUUCCACUUGUUGCACUGAACACGCUCAAAUUGCCUAUAAAAAAUUGCUUGUCAUUGAAGACUUCCCCAAUAUAUUUAGAGCCAUCAUCCUUUGGAUCUCUUUUGCUGCAUGAUGCAUUGAUCACUAGAGUUAAAUAAAUCAAUGACAGAGCCAUAAAAUGAACACAGGGUUUGUGAAAAAGGUGAUAUUUUCAAUGACUAUAUUAAUAAAUAUUUAUUCUUUGAGUAGUUAGAUUUUUGCAUAAAGCUUACCUUCCUCAACUGAUAGCUGCAUUGAUCUUUUCUCUAGCUCAACGGCAUGUCUGCUAAGCUCAGAUGGCGAUAAAUAACGAAGCGCUGAUAACAUUAUGAACAAAGAGCAUUUUCAGUGCUGGCAAAAUUAAAGGCAGAAAAGUAGGUACGAAAUUUUUAAAAUUGAAACAGCAAUGCCAUAAUAC